rnacentral:rRNA from 1 species
AGAGUUUGAUCAUGGCUCAGAUUGAACGCUGGCGGCAGGCCUAACACAUGCAAGUCGAGCGGUAGCACAGAGAGCUUGCUCUCGGGUGACGAGCGGCGGACGGGUGAGUAAUGUCUGGGAAACUGCCUGAUGGAGGGGGAUAACUACUGGAAACGGUAGCUAAUACCGCAUAACGUCGCAAGACCAAAGUGGGGGACCUUCGGGCCUCAUGCCAUCAGAUGUGCCCAGAUGGGAUUAGCUAGUAGGUGGGGUAACGGCUCACCUAGGCGACGAUCCCUAGCUGGUCUUAGAGGAUGACCAGCCACACUGGAACUGAGACACGGUCCAGACUCCUACGGGAGGCAGCAGUGGGGAAUAUUGCACAAUGGGCGCAAGCCUGAUGCAGCCAUGCCGCGUGUGUGAAGAAGGCCUUCGGGUUGUAAAGCACUUUCAGCGGGGAGGAAGGCGUUAAGGUUAAUAACCUUGGCGAUUGACGUUACCCGCAGAAGAAGCACCGGCUAACUCCGUGCCAGCAGCCGCGGUAAUACGGAGGGUGCAAGCGUUAAUCGGAAUUACUGGGCGUAAAGCGCACGCAGGCGGUCUGUCAAGUCGGAUGUGAAAUCCCCGGGCUCAACCUGGGAACUGCAUUCGAAACUGGCAGGCUAGAGUCUUGUAGAGGGGGGUAGAAUUCCAGGUGUAGCGGUGAAAUGCGUAGAGAUCUGGAGGAAUACCGGUGGCGAAGGCGGCCCCCUGGACAAAGACUGACGCUCAGGUGCGAAAGCGUGGGGAGCAAACAGGAUUAGAUACCCUGGUAGUCCACGCCGUAAACGAUGUCGAUUUGGAGGUUGUGCCCUUGAGGCGUGGCUUCCGGAGCUAACGCGUUAAAUCGACCGCCUGGGGAGUACGGCCGCAAGGUUAAAACUCAAAUGAAUUGACGGGGGCCCGCACAAGCGGUGGAGCAUGUGGUUUAAUUCGAUGCAACGCGAAGAACCUUACCUGGUCUUGACAUCCACAGAACUUAGCAGAGAUGCUUUGGUGCCUUCGGGAACUGUGAGACAGGUGCUGCAUGGCUGUCGUCAGCUCGUGUUGUGAAAUGUUGGGUUAAGUCCCGCAACGAGCGCAACCCUUAUCCUUUGUUGCCAGCGGUCCGGCCGGGAACUCAAAGGAGACUGCCAGUGAUAAACUGGAGGAAGGUGGGGAUGACGUCAAGUCAUCAUGGCCCUUACGACCAGGGCUACACACGUGCUACAAUGGCAUAUACAAAGAGAAGCGACCUCGCGAGAGCAAGCGGACCUCAUAAAGUAUGUCGUAGUCCGGAUUGGAGUCUGCAACUCGACUCCAUGAAGUCGGAAUCGCUAGUAAUCGUAGAUCAGAAUGCUACGGUGAAUACGUUCCCGGGCCUUGUACACACCGCCCGUCACACCAUGGGAGUGGGUUGCAAAAGAAGUAGGUAGCUUAACCUUCGGGAGGGCGCUUACCACUUUGUGAUUCAUGACUGGGGUGAAGUCGUAACAAGGUAACCGUAGGGGAACCUGCGGUUGGAUCACCU